rfam:Oryza sativa Japonica Group DNA, chromosome 10, cultivar: Nipponbare, complete sequence.
AAUAAGUACAGUUUUACACUAUUUUUAUCUUAUUUAAAUUUUUUUAUGAUUACUAUUUUUAUUGCUAUUAUAUGAUAAAACAUGAAUAUUACUUUAUGUGUGACUAAAUAUUUUUAAUUUUUUCACAAAAUUUUCAAAUAAGACGGAUGGUCAAACGUUGGGCACGGAUAUCCACGGCUGCACUUAUC